UUUUCCCUUUACUGUCUCUAUUCUCUCCGAUUUUUACUUUUUUUUUUUACUCGCCGUUUCUUCUUUAUUCUUUCUCUAUGUUCUUAUAUGCGGUUUCUAUUUGCUUUUUCAGGUGAGUGUUGAACCAUCGUCUCUGGUGGAGAAUAGACCAGGUGAUAAUACAUGGAUGUGCAAAUAUGCGAGGGAGAAUCACCUGUUCUAUGUUGGAUUGAUGUCAAUAAAGAUGGUUAAAAAAAAAGGUAGAUCUUUGAAUAAGUUUCAAAGUGGUUAUGGAAUGUAGCAGGCAACAUAGUAAUUUUCUGGAAUGAAAGGUGGGUAUGGUCUUACACAGUUAUUUCUGAAUAUUCGGUGCACUUUGAGAUGCAUGGGGACUGCACCUAAUGUUUCUCUGAUGCAACUCUAUAUUAAAAAAAAAAUUGACAAACCGUUGGAGAGACACAUAUCCAUUACAGGAGUGCAGCAGUAAUGAUACUAUUAAUGGACUUGCAGUGUCUUGGCAUCAUAGGAUGAUUGCAUGGGGCUCCCGUAGAUUUUAACUCACUGCCUGGAUCCAAGAAGACGAAUGAAAGUUCCAAUAAAUGUGGCUUGCAGAAGCCUUGACUGAUAACACCCAUAAGAAUCCCGAUAAAUCGCAAACAAAAAGUUCCCGUAUGAUGUCCUCGGCUACAGUCAAGGGGAAAUUUGGAAUACUACGGUAAAAUUAGGUAGAAGAAAUAGGAAAAAAUAGAGCCCGAGCACCUUACUGAUUUGGAGAAUGUGGAUACAAGUGUCAGUGUAUGGGUUCUUUCUUUUUGAUUUGUAUUUCAUAGCUUCUGUAGUAUGUUAUUGAACUUGAUGGAUUUUCUCUUUUCUCA